rnacentral:rRNA from 1 species
UUACAUCAGCAGUCUAUCUCUGUGAUCAGUGUGGAUGGCAUCAUCUGCCCAAGAUGCCCAGCUGGACAUUCUCCGAAACCAGUGGCUAAUACACGGCCGCCAAGGUUUGCCUCACCAAAAAAAGAUCUCUGUUGGCUGUGACUCUGUCUCAUGUGGCAGGGCCAGUGGUCGAUUGCACCCAGCUGUUGGCAAGACCAGCACCUGCAACAGGGUAGUGUGUGAUAGUUGACUCAGGCUGGUCCUUCUGUGACAGUUGCGUUGGCAGAGUGGUGGUCUUCUUCGUCACAGCAUUGCUUGAUCAGACGAGCUUCUGACCUAUCAGCUUUGACUGUGGUGUCUUGGACCACAGUGGCAGUGACGGGUAACAAGGAAUCAGGGUUUGAUUCUGGAGAGGGAGCCUGAGAGAUGGCUACCACUGCCAAGGUGGGCAGCAGGCACGCAAAUUGCCCAAUGCUAAAGCAGUCUGGUGAGGCAGCAACGAACUGCAGCAACCCUGCCUGUCCUUGUGACUGGUGGGGCUGGAAUGGAUGCAAUCCAAACACAGUGAUGAGUAUCAACUGGGUGCCAGCAGCUNNCGGUAAUUCCAGCUCCACGAGUGUACACUAACACCCUGCUNCUGUUAACACUUGUAGUCUGAUGCUGGGUGCAGGUCUGCCUGGUGGCCACUCACAGUCACACNUGUGGCUGUGGUGGAACUCAACCCCAGGAAGUAAGCUCUUGUACCCGACUCAAGGAUGGUGUGNUGCUGCNUCUNCUCCAAGUCUCCUUCGGUGGGGAUCGAUGCUGUUGUGCAUGCCCAAUGCUCGUGGUCUGGCAGUCAGGGUCACAGUCCAGUGCUGUGCAAUUCCCUUGCCCACAGUCGGAUCCCACCAUCNCAGUCACUGUGAAGAACUCAGUGUGCCUCAAGCAGNCAGUCCUGGCUNAAUGCUCGUUCAUGGAAUGACAUAGCAUUGNCCUGAUGUGGCUAUGGAGUUGUGAUGGCCUUGGUGCUCAUUCAGGGGAAGCUGGUGUAGUGGCCUUGGGCUGUGGGUAGGCUACGGCACCCAGUGCUAAACCUUGCCUGUGGCUCCUGUUUGCUGCACUGUUCAGCCAUGAUGGGACUGCUCAGGGUGAAGGCUACCAAAGCGCUAGUGGNGAAAUACUCAGAUCACCNUGAGAGCAACUGCAGCGAAGGCGCUCUGCAAGGGCANGUUCGUCGAUCAAGAAUGANAGUGUGGGGAGCGAAGAUGAUCAGACAUUGUCGUAGUCCACCACUGUAAACCAUGCCAGCUCAGUGUUGAANGUGCAAGUCUCCUGACUCCUCCAGCGCUAUGCCCCCAGCAACGAGAAAUCCAAGCCUUGGUCAGGGAAGGAAGNACUGUCGCAAGGCUNAAACUUAAAGGAAUUGAACGGAAUGGCACCACCAGGCGCGGAAUGUGCGGCUUUAUUUGACUCACACGGGGAGCUUGCCAGGNUAGGACGUUGCUGGGAUGGACAGACUGAGAGCUCUUUCUUGAUCCUUUGGCUUGUGGUGCAUGGCUGCUCCUGAUUGAUGGAGUGAUUUGUCUGGUUCAUUCCGAUAACGAGUGAGAUCUCUUCCUCCAAGUAGUCCCAGCUCUGCNCUUGGUAGAGUGGAGGCACAUUGUGCUCAGCGGUGGCCUUGGUCAUUGAUGAGUCCNUGCAUCCCUCGAAGAGCAUGGGUUCAUCNUCUCUGAGGUGCUGUGUGUGCUGCCAAACACAUGUUUGCUAGAGCCAACAGUAGGUCUGAUGCUCCCAGAUGCCCUGAGCUACACAUGCAUUACACUGAGCUGGUAAGUUNGUGCUGCACACCUCUGUCUGUGCCNUGUGUGGAAGUGCAUGGGANACCCUGUGAACCCAGUGUUUCUGCUCGUGCUGGGGAUAGAUGAUUGCAACUGUCUGCCUUGAACGAGGAAUGCCUAGUAAGCUCCAGACAUCAGCUGGAACUGAUUGUGUCCCUGCCACUUGUACACACCGCCCGUCG